CCUACGGGCGGCUGCAGUGGGGAAUAUUGGACAAUGGGGGGAACCCUGAUCCAGCCAUGCCGCGUGUGUGAAGAAGGCCCUCGGGUUGUAAAGCACUUUCAGUGAGGAAGAACGCCUGGUGGUUAAUACCCAUCAGGAAAGACAUCACUCACAGAAGAAGCACCGGCUAACUCCGUGCCAGCAGCCGCGGUAAUACGGAGGGUGCGAGCGUUAAUCGGAAUUACUGGGCGUAAAGCGCGCGUAGGUGGCUUGAUAAGCCGGUUGUGAAAGCCCCGGGGUCAACCUGGGAACGGCAUCCGGAACUGUCAAGCUAGAGUGCAGGAGAGGAAGGUAGAAUUCCCGGUGUAGCGGUGAAAUGCGUAGAGAUCGGGAGGAAUACCAGUGGCGAAGGCGGCCUUCUGGACUGACACUGACACUGAGGUGCGAAAGCGUGGGUAGCAAACAGGAUUAGAUACCCCAGUAGUC
rnacentral:rRNA from 1 species